rnacentral:tRNA from 1 species
GGGGCCGUAGUCUAGCUUGGUAUGAUACCUGGUUUGGGACCAGGAGGUCUGGCGUUCAAAUCGCUGCGGCCCCACCA